UACAGAGGUCCCAAGCGUUGUUCGGAUUUAUUGGGCGUAAAGGGUGCGUAGGCGGCGGGGUAAGUUGGGUGUGAAAUCCCGGGGCUCAACCUCGGAAUUGCAUUCAAUACUGCUUCGCUCGAGUACUGGAGAGGAGGCUGGAAUUUACGGUGUAGCAGUGAAAUGCGUAGAUAUCGUAAGGAAGGCCGGUGGCGAAAGCGAGCCUCUGGACAGUUACUGACGCUGAUGCACGAAGGCCAGGGGAGCAAACGGG
rnacentral:rRNA from 1 species